GUGGCCCCAGCGGCCGCCAUGGCCGACAGCAGUCCUGCGGAGGGGCCAGCUUUGACUGAUCCAGACCCCGAGCCAGGCAGUGCCAACACAGGGCCCCGAGUCUACUUCCAGAGUCCCCUUGGGACCCCAGGCGAAACCCCUGGGCCCGGGAACAACCCGGAUAAAGAUGACCAGGUGAGACGGCCAGAUAGGCCAGAUAAGAUCAUCGUCAAGUACGACCGCAAGGAGCUCCGGAAGCGCCUCAACCUGGACGACUGGAUCUUAGAACAGCUCACGGGUCUCUACGACUGCAAGGAAGAGGAGAUCCCGGAGCUCGAGAUCGAUGUGGACGAACUCUUGGACAUGGAAAGCGACGAUACCCGGGCUGCUAGAGUCAAGGAGCUGUUAGUUGACUGUUACAAACCCACCGAGGCCUUCAUCAAUGACCUGCUAGACAAGAUCCGGGGCAUGCAGAAGCUGACCAUACCCCUGAAGAACUAAAAAGGUACUGACUCGGAUGACCAUGGCUCCCACGGGACAAUCGUUGUCCCCCAGUCUCCUAGCAACAGCAAUACUGGGGGACCCUGCAGCCAAGCCUGACUCCAUGAGUGGGGAUCCUCUUGUCCCUGCCUAGGGGCCACUUCCCUGCCCUCAGUUUUCCAUUUUGACUUUUUAAUUUUACCUUUUUCUUUUUUCUUUUUAAUUGUUAUUAAACGGAUGGGACUUUAAAAACGAAGAACCAUACUAGGACUUUAAAUAGAGAAUUGUAACUGGUAAUUAACAUACUUUCCCCUGAUCCCUGUGAGUCAUAUCACCUGAAACUGCUGAGUUUGACAUCAUCAGCAAUGUGCGGUCGGUCGUUUUUCUAAGUGAAACCUCUUUCAAUUUCUCUAGGGAUUAAGGAGUAAUGCAUUUUAAAAGUAUAACUGUCAACAAGCGAAUCAUACACGUAAAAAUGCUAAUUUCAUUUGUUUGGGUGAUCUAACAAUUGAGUAGAUUUGUAAAACGAGUCUAUGACGCUAUGGUAGAAAAUGCUGAAGGACAGUUUUGCUCUUGUCUCCAGGGAGCAGAGCCUAGUGACAUGCGACCAGGGGAGAAAGUACACACGCAGAAGAGGGAGGAUGUAGAACGAAUGACUUGGGGCUGUUGUCACCCCUUCUUUUCGCUGAAGGAGGAGUUGAAAUCAUCUCCCUGCCCACCUCCGAGGAUGGAGAACCAGAAAAUCUACCUUCCCAGGACCCGGAGCUUUUCCAAGGCACUUCCUGCUAGGCUUAACUUCCACCGGGCAGCCUUUCGUAGUUCAGUGCUGGCUAGUAAUCUCCAGCUGGCUUUGAGGCUUGGCCCAUCAUUUCCCAAUCCACAGCAAGGACCUGUACUCAAGCCAGGAUAUUGUCCCAGGCUUGCUGGAGUUAGUAAUGUAGAAUGUUUCAGCUUCUCCUGUUCUGAGUCCAAGCAACAGCCUGGAGCUUUUAAAGACAUCGAAGCUGUUUUCCUUCUUGCUAUGGAGAUGUAUCCUACACCUUUGGGUUUGAAUUCUGUUGUGGUCACUAGCUCAGCAAGUCCAGACAAGUCACAAAACUGUUUCAAGCCUCUGUUUUGCUCCUGUUAAAUGGCAACAGUAAAAGCAAGUCAUAAGAUGAGAGGUUACCUCCAGCACACCAAGAGCUAGCUACGAUUUCCUUUUCUUCUAUGCUCUUCCCCUGCCUCUUUCUUACAAGUUGUUACUUUUGGCUCAUUUUCUUCACAGAAUGGGGACAAGGUAGACAGUAAUAAAAAUGUACAUUUACAGUUGUUUAAAAAUAAAAUUAAUAAGCCGGAA